GGGAAGGUGACAGCGGUUCAAGAAUGGGCGGCACCCCGGAACCGCAAGGACCUGCAGCGUUUCCUGGGGUUCGCCAAUUACUACCGGACCUUCAUCGCUGAUUAUGCUCAUCGCACCACCCCGUUGACCCGGCUACUGCGCCCAAAGACGCCGUUUUCCUGGGACAAGGAGGCAGAGGAGGCGUUUCAGGGGUUGAAGGCCUGUUUCCAGAGGGCACCAAUCUUACAACAUCCUGACCCCUCUCGACCCUUUGUGGUGGAGACCGACGCUUCCAGUACGGCUCUCGGUGCCGUCUUGUCUCAACAGAUUGGUCCUGAAGCGCCACUCUUACCCUGUGCCUUCUAUUCUCGCCAGCUCCUACCAGCGGAGCGUAACUAUACUGUGUGGGAGCGGGAACUACUGGCCAUCAAGGUAGCCUUUGAGGUCUGGCGCCACCAUCUUGAGGGGGCACGACAUCCGGUGGAGGUGAGAACCGACCACCGGAACCUGGAGUACCUCCAGACCACCCGCAAGCUGAACCAAAGACAGAUCCGGUGGGCGUUGUUCUUUUCCCGGUUCCAGUUCCGGAUCCGCUACAUCCCUAGCUCUCAGAAUCAGAAGGCGGAUGCCCUGUCCCGGAAACCCGAAGACAACGCAGACACGGUACAGCAAGCAGAACCCACCACGAUCCUACCUCCGGCUGCAUUCCUGGCCACCCAGGAGGCGCAGCCACUGCAGGUUCGGGUGCGGGAACAGCAGCGGGUCGACGCUUGGGCCCAGGAACGACUCCGGGAGCUGGCUGAAGGGUCCAGCCCACAGUAUCCGGGGCUGGUCCUGCAUCAGGGCCUUCUGCUGCACCACGGUCGUCUGUACAUCCCGCCAGGGCCACUACGGCUGGAGGUUCUCCGGAUGGCCCAUGAUGCCCCAGCAGCGGGGCACUUUGGACGGUAUCGGACCACCCAUCUGGUCAGUCGAGAGUUUUGGUGGCCCCGCCUGAAGGCUGACGUGGCUCGCUACGUUGCUGGUUGUGAUGUCUGCCGGCGCGCCAAGGGACCUACCGGGCGACCCCCCGGCCUACUUCAGCCAUUGCCAGUUCCACCGCGCCCCUGGCACACGGUUUCGUUGGACUUUGUAGUGGACUUACCCUCGUCUCGUGGCUGUACCUGCCUUCUGGUUUUCUCCGACCAUUUCACCAAGAUGGUGCACUGCGCUCCCUGUCCAUCUGUACCCACAGCCAAGGAAACUGCUCAGCUGUACCUUCAGCAUGUCUUCCGCCUGCAUGGACUACCUGAGCGCGUGGUGUCCGACCGGGCGUUCAGUUCACAUCCCGGUUCUGGCGAGCAUUACACCAGACCCUCGGGACAGAGGUCUGCCUCUCGUCAGCCUACCACCCACAGACCGAUGGCCAGACGGAACGGGCGAACGCGGUGCUGGAGCAGUACCUCCGGUGUUACUGCAGCUACCAGCAGGAUGACUGGGUCGACCACCUGGCAUUGGCGGAGUUCGCCUAUAACAACGCGGUGAAUGCGUCCACCCAGCAGACCCCGUUCCAGGCCAGUUAUGGUUAUCAUCCACGGCUGUUUCCAGAGGUGCUGCCGGCAUCCGCGGUCCCGGCGGUGACGGAGUGGCUUCAAGAGCUCCAGUCCCAGCAACAGCUUUUGGUGGAGCAACUGCACCAGGCCAAGGAAGCGUACAAAGCCCAGGCCGACCGCCACCGCCAGGUGGGGCCGGAACUUCGCGUCGGUGACCUGGUUUGGCUCUCCACUCGCCACCUCCACCCCUCUCGACCUUCGCGGAAGUUGGACGCCCGCUUCACCGGCCCGUUCCCUAUCGUAGACCAAAUCUCUCCUGUGGCAUUCCGUCUCCGGUUACCCGCAACCCUGAAGGUUCACCCGGUCUUCCACAGGUCCCUUUUGAGUCCGGUGGCCCCACCCGACGAGUUCCACUCGGACCGUCCCCGACCGCAGCCAGUGUUGGUUCGGGGAGAGCCUGAGUACGAGGUGGAACGCAUCCUGGACUCCCGAUACCGCAGGGGAAAGCUGCAGUAUCUCAUUGACUGGAAGGGGUACGGACCGGAGGACCGUUCCUGGGAACCAGCGGCCAAUGUCCACGCACCUGCCUGCCUCCGAGAGUUCCAUGCGACGUACCCCGGCAAGCCGGGUCCGGACCCUCGGUUGAGGGGGGGGCCUGGGAGGGGGGAUGGUGUGAUGGCCUGGGAUUCCGAUUCGGAGGAUGAAACAGAGGAAUCCCAGCCUGCACAGGAGUCCCCGCCUCCAGGGCCGGCUGAACUGGGGCAAGGCCUAGAUGCUGAAGAGCCUGCACCUGUGGCAGUGCAUCAGGAGCUGGCCCCAGGUGAAGCCCUUCUGGCCCCAGAGGGGCUUGAUGACUCAGUGGCCACAGGUGAGCCUCCUCCAGGGCCCAGUAACCCUUCGGCCUCUCCUGAUCUGCAGAGGCUUAGGGCAGAGAGGCGAAGGGAACUGGUUGCCCCCAGGAGGAGUGCUCGCCUUAAGGCCAGAGGAGGCGGGGCUCCUGGGGACCGGGACCGCCCCUGGCCUUAGAAGAGGAUAAAAGCCCAGUCAGCCCGGCCCCAGGUUGCGGGAGCAACGUCGUUGUUGGCUUCGGACCUUCCUGUGCUCCUGUUCCCUGCUCGGCUUCCUGUUCCUGACUAUCCGGUACUCCUGUUCCCUGCUCGGCUUCCUGUUCCUGACUAUCCGGUACUCCUGUUCCCUGCUCGGCCUCCUGUUCCCGACCAUCCGGUGUUCCUGUUCCCUGCACAGCCUCCUGUUCCAGCAUUCCUGUUCCCCGCCCGGCUCUCUGCCUCGGACCUUGCCCCUCUUCGUGUGGACUCUGCUACACCCAAGGUACCUUACCCCCGGGACCAGCACAG